ensembl:misc_RNA Y_RNA Y RNA
GGUUGAUGAUUGUGGGUUAGCAGAACUUACUAACAUUAAUAUCACUAAAGUUGGUAUACAGCCCCCAUCCACUGCUAAAUUUGGCUGGCUUUUA